rnacentral:rRNA from 1 species
CCCAGUAACGGCGAGUGAAGCGGCAAGAGCUCAAAUUUGAAAUCUGGCCCCCCCCGCGGGGGUCCGAGUUGUAAUUUGCAGAGGAUGCUUCUGGCGCGGCGCCUUCCGAGUUCCCUGGAACGGGACGCCACAGAGGGUGAGAGCCCCGUCCGGUCGGACGCCCAGCCUGUGUGAAGCACCUUCGACGAGUCGGGUAGUUUGGGAAUGCUGCCCUAAAUGGGAGGUAUAUGUCUUCUAAAGCUAAAUACCGGCCAGAGACCGAUAGCGCACAAGUAGAGUGAUCGAAAGAUGAAAAGCACUUUGAAAAGAGGGUUAAACAGUACGUGAAAUUGUUGAAAGGGAAGCGCUCAUGACCAGACUUGGGCCCGGGGGAUCACCCGGCGUUCUUUCGCCGGGGCACUUCGCCGGCUGCCCAGGCCAGCAUCAGUUCGCGGCGGGGGACAAAGGCUUCGGGAACGUAGCUCCCUACGGGGAGUGUUAUAGCCCGCUGCGCAAUGCCCUGCCGCGGACUGAGGUUCGCGCUCUCCGCAAGGAUGCUGGCGUAAUGGUCAUCAGCGACCCGUCUUGAAACACGGACCAAGGAGUCGUCUUCGUAUGCGAGUGUUCGGGUGUCAAACCCCUACGCGUAAUGAAAGUGAACGCAGGUGAGAGCUUCGGCGCAUCACCGACCGAUCCUGAUGUUCUCGGAUGGAUUUGAGUACGAGCAUACGGGGCCGGACCCGAAAGAAGGUGAACUAUGCCUGUAUAGGGUGAAGCCAGAGGAAACUCUGGUGGAGGCUCGCAGCGGUUCUGACGUGCAAAUCGAUCGUCAAAUAUGGGCAUGGGGGCGAAAGACUA